rnacentral:rRNA from 1 species
UACGGAGGGUGCAAACGUUGCUCGGAAUCAUUGGGCGUAAAGCGCACGUAGGCGGCCUGUUAAGUCGGAUGUGAAAGCCCCGGGCUCAACCCGGGAAGUGCAUUCGAAACUGGCGGGCUUGAAUAUGGAAGAGGGUCGCGGAAUUCCCGGUGUAGAGGUGAAAUUCGUAGAUAUCGGGAGGAACACCAGUGGCGAAGGCGGCGACCUGGGCCAAUAUUGACGCUGAGGUGCGAAAGCGUGGGGAGCAAACAGGG